CUCUACGGGAGGCAGCAGUGAGGAAUAUUGGUCAAUGGGCGCAAGCCUGAACCAGCCAUCCCGCGUGCAGGAUGACGGCCCUACGGGUUGUAAACUGCUUUUAUACAGGAAGAAAAAUCCCGAUGUAUCGGGACUUGCCGGUACUGUAUGAAUAAGCAUCGGCUAACUCCGUGCCAGCAGCCGCGGUAAUACGGAGGAUGCAAGCGUUAUCCGGAUUCAUUGGGUUUAAAGGGUGCGUAGGCGGCUUUUUAAGUCAGUGGUGAAAUCCUGCCGCUUAACGGUAGAAUUGCCAUUGAUACUGAGGAGCUUGAGUUCAGUUGGGGUAAGCGGAAUGUGUAGUGUAGCGGUGAAAUGCUUAGAUAUUACACAGAACACCGAUUGCGAAGGCAGCUUACUAAACUGACACUGACGCUGAUGCACGAAAGCGUGGGGAUCGAACAGGAUUAGAUACCCUGGUAGUCCACGCCGUAAACGAUGAUCACUCGCUGUAUGCGAUAUACCGUAUGCGGCCAAGCGAAAGCAUUAAGUGAUCCACCUGGGGAGUACGAUCGCAAGGUUGAAACUCAAAGGAAUUGACGGGGGCCCGCACAAGCGGAGGAACAUGUGGUUUAAUUCGAUGAUACGCGAGGAACCU
rnacentral:rRNA from 1 species